rnacentral:rRNA from 1 species
GACGAACGCUGGCGGCGCGCCUAACACAUGCAAGUCGAACGAGAGAUGAGGAGCUUGCUCUUCAGAUCGAGUGGCGAACGGGUGAGUAACGCGUGAGGAACCUGCCUCAAAGAGGGGGACAACAGUUGGAAACGACUGCUAAUACCGCAUAAGCCCACGGCUCGGCAUCGAGCAGAGGGAAAAGGAGCAAUCCGCUUUGAGAUGGCCUCGCGUCCGAUUAGCUAGUUGGUGAGGUAACGGCCCACCAAGGCGACGAUCGGUAGCCGGACUGAGAGGUUGAACGGCCACAUUGGGACUGAGACACGGCCCAGACUCCUACGGGAGGCAGCAGUGGGGAAUAUUGCACAAUGGGGGAAACCCUGAUGCAGCGACGCCGCGUGGAGGAAGAAGGUCUUCGGAUUGUAAACUCCUGUUGUUGAGGAAGAUAAUGACGGUACUCAACAAGGAAGUGACGGCUAACUACGUGCCAGCAGCCGCGGUAAAACGUAGGUCACAAGCGUUGUCCGGAAUUACUGGGUGUAAAGGGAGCGCAGGCGGGAGAACAAGUUGGAAGUGAAAUCCAUGGGCUCAACCCAUGAACUGCUUUCAAAACUGUUUUUCUUGAGUAGUGCAGAGGUAGGCGGAAUUCCCGGUGUAGCGGUGGAAUGCGUAGAUAUCGGGAGGAACACCAGUGGCGAAGGCGGCCUACUGGGCACCAACUGACGCUGAGGCUCGAAAGUGUGGGUAGCAAACAGGAUUAGAUACCCUUGUAGUCCACACCGUAAACGAUGAUUAAUAGGUGUUGGAGGAUUGACCCCUUCAGUGCCGCAGUAACACAAUAA